UACGAAGGGGCUAGCGUUGUUCGGAUUUACUGGGCGUAAAGCGCACGUAGGCGGUUUGUUAAGUCAGGGGUGAAAUCCCACAGCUCAACUGUGGAACUGCCUUUGAUACUGGCAAGCUAGAGUCCGGAAGAGGUAAGUGGAACUCCUAGUGUAGAGGUGGAAUUCGUAGAUAUUAGGAAGAACACCAGUGGCGAAGGCGGCUCACUGGGCCGGUACUGACGCUG
rnacentral:rRNA from 1 species